AGAGUUUGAUCCUGGCUCAGGACGAACGCUGGCGGCGUGCCUAAUACAUGCAAGUCGAGCGAGCUUGCAUAUAGAAAUUCUUCGGAAUGGACAUAGAUACAAGCUAGCGGCGGAUGGGUGAGUAACGCGUGGGUAACCUGCCCUUAAGUCUGGGAUACCAUUUGGAAACAGAUGCUAAUACCGGAUAAAAGCUACUUUCGCAUGAAAGAAGUUUAAAAGGCGGCGUAAGCUGUCGCUAAAGGAUGGACCUGCGAUGCAUUAGCUAGUUGGUAAGGUAACGGCUUACCAAGGCGAUGAUGCAUAGCCGAGUUGAGAGAGUGAUCGGCCACAUUGGGACUGAGACACGGCCCAAACUCCUACGGGAGGCAGCAGUAGGGAAUCUUCCACAAUGGACGAAAGUCUGAUGGAGCAACGCCGCGUGAGUGAAGAAGGUUUUCGGAUCGUAAAGCUCUGUUGUUGGUGAAGAAGGAUAGAGGUAGUAACUGGCCUUUAUUUGACGGUAAUCAACCAGAAAGUCACGGCUAACUACGUGCCAGCAGCCGCGGUAAUACGUAGGUGGCAAGCGUUGUCCGGAUUUAUUGGGCGUAAAGCGAGCGCAGGCGGAUUGAUAAGUCUGAUGUGAAAGCCUUCGGCUCAACCGAAGAACUGCAUCAGAAACUGUCAAUCUUGAGUGCAGAAGAGGAGAGUGGAACUCCAUGUGUAGCGGUGGAAUGCGUAGAUAUAUGGAAGAACACCAGUGGCGAAGGCGGCUCUCUGGUCUGUAACUGACGCUGAGGCUCGAAAGCAUGGGUAGCGAACAGGAUUAGAUACCCUGGUAGUCCAUGCCGUAAACGAUGAGUGCUAGGUGUUAGGACCUUUCCGCGCGUGCUCAGUGCUGCAGCUAACGCAUAAGCACUCCGCCUGGGAGACGCCGCCC
rnacentral:rRNA from 1 species